AGUGAACGCUGGCGGUAGGCCUAACACAUGCAAGUCGAACGGCAGCACAGUAAGAGCUUGCUCUUACGGGUGGCGAGUGGCGGACGGGUGAGGAAUACAUCGGAAUCUACUUUUUCGUGGGGGAUAACGUAGGGAAACUUACGCUAAUACCGCAUACGACCUACGGGUGAAAGCAGGGGAUCUUCGGACCUUGCGCGAUUGAAUGAGCCGAUGUCGGAUUAGCUAGUUGGCGGGGUAAAGGCCCACCAAGGCGACGAUCCGUAGCUGGUCUGAGAGGAUGAUCAGCCACACUGGAACUGAGACACGGUCCAGACUCCUACGGGAGGAAGCAGUGGGGAAUAUUGGACAAGGGGCGCAAGCCUGAUCCAGCCAUACCGCGUGGGUGAAGAAGGCCUUCGGGUUGUAAAGCCCUUUUGUUGGGAAAGAAAAGCAGCAGGUUAAUACCCCGCUGUUCUGACGGUACCCAAAGAAUAAGCACCGGCUAACUUCGUG
rnacentral:rRNA from 1 species